CGGAGCCUCUGCAACCUCGCCUCACAACCCGGACUGCUGACGCUGAUGAUGCAUCAGAUACCUUACAGACAUGGCCUCCCGAACGAUGCACACCUCCAUCCAGCUACCCCUGCGGCAACAGUUCUUUCGCAUCUGGCACACCCCAAGCUACCUCUCUGACGCCUCUUUCACAAUCAACCAAUGCCGAGAUAACGCCGUUACCAACUGUGCCCUACUGAUGUUGGUAAUCCUUCUGCUGAAGAGCAGCCGGCUUGCAUAGAAGAUCUCCCAUGUGUGGAACACGAGCGAGAUUCUAUGUACCAUGCAGGGCACGAUGUGUGAUUGGCCAGGGCAGUUUGAGACAGUCUUCCAAUACAAGGAAGACUCAAUGUUUAUAAAACAGGCUGCCUUGGCCAUCUGGCCAGCAUCAGUACUUCAGGAGAAAACUGUCACGGGAACCCUCUCAAACCGGGCGAUUUCUGAGGGCCACACCCAAAUUAAGCCUGCCCUUACCCCGUUGAGUGCCCUGUAUGCUCUCUACUACCACAGACUGGGUGUCACAGAACUGGAGGCAAGCAACACAGAUCGAAAUGCACGUGAAAAGAAGUGCGCCAUUAUGUGUCCCAGAAAAUUUCUGAUAUUCGCAGACUACAGAAGCGAAAUGAGCAGAAUGAAUGUUUUU